CGUCAUGUAACUCAGUCAGGUAGAGUAAACGGCUUUUAACCGUUAGGUCGCAGGUUCAAAUCCUGCCAUGACCG
rnacentral:tRNA from 1 species